AACGGCCGCGGUAUCCUAACCGUGCAAAGGUAGCGUAAUCACUUGUUCUUUAAAUAGGGACUAGUAUGAAUGGCAUCACGAAGGUUAAACUGUCUCCUUUUUCUAAUCAGUGAAACUAAUUUUCCCGUGAAGAAGCGGGAAUAUAAGUAUAAGACGAGAAGACCCUAUGGAGCUUUAAACAAUUCAACACUUGCUUUAAUAUUUAAAAAUUUCAGAACUUUAUACUCUUCGAGCAAUAUGAUUGCAAAGUUUUUGGUUGGGGUGACCACGGAGUAUAAUUCAACCUCCCUGCUGAAAGAAUCUCUUCUAAGCUAAGAAUUACUUAUCUAAGCAUCAACACAAUGACAUCCCUUGACCCAAUAUAUUUGAUCAACGAACCAAGUUACCCUAGGGAUAACAGCGCAAUCCACUUCAAGAGCUCCUAUCGACAAGUGGGUUUACGACCUCGAUGUUGGAUCAGGGUAUCCUAGUGGUGUAGCCGCUACUAAAGGUUCGUUUGUUCAACGAUUAAAACCCU
rnacentral:rRNA from 1 species